GAUGAACGCUGGCGGCGUGCCUAAUACAUGCAAGUCGAGCGAACAGACGAGGAGCUUGCUCCUCUGACGUUAGCGGCGGACGGGUGAGUAACACGUGGAUAACCUACCUAUAAUUCUGGGAUCACUUCGGGACACCGGAGCUUAUACCGGAUAAUAUCUUGAACCGCAUGGUUCAAUAGUGAAUGUCGGUUUUGCUGUAACUUCUCGAUGGUUCCGCGCCGCAGUAGCUAGUUGGUACGGUAACGGCUUACCACGGCAACGAUGCGUAGCCGACCUGAGAGGGUGGUCGGCCACACGGGAACUGAGACACGGUCCAGGCUCCUACGGGAGGCAGCAGUAGGGAAUCUUCCGCAAUGGGCGAAAGCCUGACGGAGCAACGCCGCGUGAGUGAUGAAGAUCUUCGGAUCGUAAAACUCUGUUAUUAGGGAAGAACAAAUGUGUAAGUAACUAUGCACGUCUUGACGGUACCUAAUCAGAAAGCCACGGCUAACUACGUG
rnacentral:rRNA from 1 species